GACGAACGCUGGCGGCGUGCCUAAUACAUGCAAGUAGAACGCACAGUUUAUACCGUAGCUUGCUACACCAUAGACUGUGAGUUGCGAACGGGUGAGUAACGCGUAGGUAACCUGCCUGGUAGCGGGGGAUAACUAUUGGAAACGAUAGCUAAUACCGCAUAAUAUUAAUUAUUGCAUGAUAAUUAAUUGAAAGGUGCAAUUGCACCACUACCAGAUGGACAUGCGUUGUAUUAGCUAGUAGGUGAGGUAACGGCUCACCUAGGCGACGAUACAUAGCCGACCUGAGAGGGUGAUCGGCCACACUGGGACUGAGACACGGCCCAGACUCCUACGGGAGGCAGCAGUAGGGAAUCUUCGGCAAUGGACGAAAGUCUGACCGAGCAACGCCGCGUGAGUGAAGAAGGGUUUCGGAUCGUAAAGCUCUGCUGUAUGAGAAGAACGGGUGUGAGAGUGGAAAGUUCACACUGUGACGGUAUCUUACCAGAAAGGGACGGCUAACUACGUG
rnacentral:rRNA from 1 species